rnacentral:rRNA from 1 species
UGGGGAAUAUUGGACAAUGGGCGCAAGCCUGAUCCAGCCAUGCCGCGUGAGUGAUGAAGGCCCUAGGGUUGUAAAGCUCUUUCACCGGUGAAGAUAAUGACGGUAACCGGAGAAGAAGCCCCGGCUAACUCCGUGCCAGCAGCCGCGGUAAUACGAAGGGGGCUAGCGUUGUUCGGAUUUACUGGGCGUAAAGCGCACGUAGGCGGACUUUUAAGUCAGGGGUGAAAUCCCGGGGCUCAACCCCGGAACUGCCUUUGAUACUGGAAGUCUUGAGUAUGGUAGAGGUGAGUGGAAUUCCGAGUGUAGAGGUGAAAUUCGUAGAUAUUCGGAGGAACACCAGUGGCGAAGGCGGCUCACUGGACCAUUACUGACGCUGAGGUGCGAAAGCGUGGUGAGCAAACAGG